GGCAGUAUUAAAAGUCAGCCUCCAGGGGCUUCCCUGGUGGCUCAGCGGUGAAGAAUCUGCGUGCCAGUGCAGGGACAUAGGUUUGAUCCCUGAUCUGGGAAGAUCCCACAUGCCUUGAAGCUAGCCUUGUGCUACAACUAUCGAGCCCGUGUUCUAGAGCGCAGGAGCCACAACUACCGAAGCCCCUUGUGCCUGAAGACUGGGCCCCGCAACUAGAGAAGCCUCCGCAGUGAGAAGCCUGCGCCCCGCAACUAGAGAAGCCUCUGCAGUGAGAAGCCUGCGCCCCGCAACAAGAGACAAGCCCACGCGGGAACAAAGACCCACGUGGCCAAAAAUAAAUGAGGAAACUGAGUCACAGAAAGAGGAAGUGAUUUGUCUGAGGUCACAAAGGCAGUCUGGUUCUUGAGCCCAUCUCCAUCGCCACUCUGCCAUGAUUGUGUUCUUGAACUUAAGAUGCAGGAUGAAGGCAAAAGGGUAAGAAACAUGAAACUUCGUCGGCCAACUUGGCCCAGUAAGUCAUCAGGGACCUGGAAAAGCCAUCUGCUAUAAUGCUUUGGACUUGGGA
ensembl:lncRNA